rnacentral:rRNA from 1 species
UACAGAGGGUGCGAGCGUUAUCCGGAAUUACUGGGCGUAAAGGGCGCGUAGGCGGCUUGGUAAGUCGGGGGUGAAAGUCAGCGGCUCGACCGCUGGACUGCCUUCGAGACUGCCUGGCUUGAGCAUGGUAGAGGCUGGCGGAAUUCCCGGUGUAGCGGUGGAAUGCGUAGAGAUCGGGAAGAACAUCGGUGGCGAAGGCGGCCAGCUGGGCCAUUGCUGACGCUGAUGCGCGACAGCGUGGGGAGCAAACAGG